rnacentral:rRNA from 1 species
GGGGGGGGGGGGGGGGGGGGGGGGGGGGGGGGGGGGGGGGGGGGGGGCGGGGCGGGGGGGGGGUGCUGGGGUGGCGGGCGGGGGGGUAGCACGGGAGUGACCUGCCCUUGACUUUGGGGUGACUUCAGGGAACUGGGGCUCAUACCGGAUAGGAGCUCCUGCUGCAUGGUGGGGGUUGGAAAGUUUCGGCGGUUGGGGAUGGACUCGCGGCUUAUCAGCUUGUUGGUGGGGUAGUGGCUUACCAAGGCUUUGACGGGUAGCCGGCCUGAGAGGGUGACCGGCCACAUUGGGACUGAGAUACGGCCCAGACUCCUACGGGAGGCAGCAGUGGGGAAUAUUGCACAAUGGGCGGAAGCCUGAUGCAGCAACGCCGCGUGCGGGAUGACGGCCUUCGGGUUGUAAACCGCUUUCGCCUGUGACGAAGCGUGAGUGACGGUAAUGGGUAAAGAAGCACCGGCUAACUACGUG